GAUGAACGCUGGCGGCGUGCCUAAUACAUGCAAGUCGAGCGAACAGACGAGGAGCUUGCUCCUCUGACGUUAGCGGCGGACGGGUGAGUAACACGUGGAUAACCUACCUAUAAGACUGGGAUAACUUCGGGAAACCGGAGCUAAUACCGGAUAAUAUAUUGAACUGCAUGGUUCAAUAGUGAAAGACGGUUUUGCUGUCACUUAUAGAUGGAUCCGCGCCGCAUUAGCUAGUUGGUAAGGUAACGGCUUACCAAGGCAACGAUGCGUAGCCGACCUGAGAGGGUGAUCGGCCACGCUGGAACUGAGACACGGUCCAGACUCCUACGGGAGGCAGCAGUAGGGAAUCUUCCGCAAUGGGCGAAAGCCUGACGGAGCAACGCCGCGUGAGUGAUGAAGGUCUUCGGAUCGUAAAACUCUGUUAUUAGGGAAGAACAAAUGUGUAAGUAACUAUGCACGUCUUGACGGUACCUAAUCAGAAAGCCACGGCUAACUACGUG
rnacentral:rRNA from 1 species